CGAACGCUGGCGGCGUGCUUAACACAUGCAAGUUGAACGGCAAGGCCCUGCUUUUGUGGGGUGCUCGAGUGGCGAACGGGUGAGUAACACGUGAGUAACCUGCCCUUGACUUUGGGAUAACUUCAGGAAACUGGGGCUAAUACCGGAUAGGAGCUCCUGCUGCAUGGUGGGGGUUGGAAAGUUUCGGCGGUUGGGGAUGGACUCGCGGCUUAUCAGCUUGUUGGUGGGGUAGUGGCUUACCAAGGCUUUGACGGGUAGCCGGCCUGAGAGGGUGACCGGCCACAUUGGGACUGAGAUACGGCCCAGACUCCUACGGGAGGCAGCAGUGGGGAAUAUUGCACAAUGGGCGGAAGCCUGAUGCAGCAACGCCGCGUGCGGGAUGACGGCCUUCGGGUUGUAAACCGCUUUCGCCUGUGACGAAGCGUGAGUGACGGUAAUGGGUAAAGAAGCACCGGCUAACUACGUG
rnacentral:rRNA from 1 species